rnacentral:rRNA from 1 species
GACGAACGCUGGCGGCGUGCUUAACACAUGCAAGUCGAACGAUGAAGAAGAGAAACGCGAACUUCGGUUCAAAUUUCACUUCGGAUUAGUGGCAGACGGGUGAGUAACGCGUGAGCAACCUACCUCUUACAAAGGGAUAGCCUCGGGAAACCGUGAUUAAUACCAUAUGACACAUUCACAAGGCAUCUUAAGAAUGUUAAAGCUACGGCGGUAAGAGAUGGGCUCGCGUCCCAUUAGCUAGUUGGUGAGGUAACGGCCCACCAAGGCGACGAUGGGUAACCGGCCUGAGAGGGUGAACGGUCACAUUGGAACUGAGACACGGUCCAAACUCCUACGGGAGGCAGCAGUGGGAAUAUUGCACAAUGGAGGGAACUCUGAUGCAGCGACGCCGCGUGAGCGAUGAAGGAAUUCGUUUCGUAAAGCUCUGUUCUAUGGGAAGAAAAGGACUGUACCAUAGGAGAAAGCCCCGGCUAAAUACGUG